rnacentral:rRNA from 1 species
UGAACCUUUACUAUAGCUUGACACUGAACAUUGAGCCUUGAUGUGUAGGAUAGGUGGGAGGCUUUGAAGUGUGGACGCCAGUCUGCAUGGAGCCGACCUUGAAAUACCACCCUUUAAUGUUUGAUGUUCUAACGUUGGCCCGUAAUCCGGGUUGCGGACAGUGUCUGGUGGGUAGUUUGACUGGGGCGGUCUCCUCCUAAAGAGUAACGGAGGAGCACGAAGGUUGGCUAAUCCUGGUCGGACAUCAGGAGGUUAGUGCAAUGGCAUAAGCCAGCUUGACUGCGAGCGUGACGGCGCGAGCAGGUGCGAAAGCAGGUCAUAGUGAUCCGGUGGUUCUGAAUGGAAGGGCCAUCGCUCAACGGAUAAAAGGUACUCCGGGGAUAACAGGCUGAUACCGCCCAAGAGUUCAUAUCGACGGCGGUGUUUGGCACCUCGAUGUCGGCUCAUCACAUCCUGGGGCUGAAGUAGGUCCCAAGGGUAUGGCUGUUCGCCAUUUAAAGUGGUACGCGAGCUGGGUUUAGAACGUCGUGAGACAGUUCGGUCCCUAUCUGCCGUGGGCGCUGGAGAACUGAGGGGGGCUGCUCCUAGUACGAGAGGACCGG